rnacentral:rRNA from 1 species
GACGAACGCUGGCGGCGUGCUUAACACAUGCAAGUCGAGCGGAAAGGCCCUUCGGGGUGCUCGAGUGGCGAACGGGUGAGUAACACGUGGGUGAUCUGCCCUGCACCUUGGGAUAAGCCUGGGAAACUGGGUCUAAUACCGAAUACACCCUGCUGGUUGCAUGAUCUGGUGGGGGAAAGCUUUUGCGGCGUGGGAUGGGCCCGCGGCCUAUCAGCUUGUUGGUGGGGUGAUGGCCUACCAAGGCGACGACGGGUAGCCGGCCUGAGAGGGUGACCGGCCACACUGGGACUGAGAUACGGCCAAGACUCCUACGGGAGGCAGCAGUGGGGAAUAUUGCACAAUGGGCGCAAGCCUGAUGCAGCGACGCCGCGUGGGGGAUGACGGCCUUCGGGUUGUAAACCUCUUUCAGUAGGGACGAAGCGCAAGUGACGGUACCUACAGAAGAAGGACCGGCCAACUACGUGCCAGCCGCCGCAGUAACAC